GAUGAAGAACGUAGCGAAAUGCGAUACUUGGUGUGAAUUGCAGAAUCCCGUGAACCAUCGAGUCUUUGAACGCAAGUUGCGACCGAAGCCAUUAGGCCGAGGGCACGCCUGCCUGGGCGUCACACGUCGUUGCCCCCCCAUCUACUCCUUCGGGAUUGCGGGGGGCGGAUGAUGGCCUCCCGUGCGCCUCGUCGCGCGGUUGGCAUAAAUGCCAAGUCCUCGGCGACGCACGCCACGACAAUCGGUGGUUGCGAAACCUCGGUUGCCCGUCGUGUGCGGUCGUCGCGCAUCGAGGGCUCGAAAAAAUUGCCGGGCUCCGGCUCGGCUUUCAACGCGACCCCAGGUCAGGCGGGGUUACCCGCUGAAUUUAAGCAUAUCAAUAAGCGGAGGA
rnacentral:misc_RNA from 1 species